UUAAUAUUCGUCGUGCUAUUACGCCGAACGAGCAGCCAAGUGCCAACUACGAUGAAUGAUGAUGGCCGACGCGCCGACGACGGAAGGUCGGAGUGCUGGACCUGUACUCCGGUCGGCGGGUGGGGACUGGUGUUGGUGUAGGUGAACCCAGGAGUGGGGGUGGCGGUGACUCGGCGGAAUGUAAACGUCCUACUAUCACCGAGUUGAAAAGGUGGUGGGUACCGAUAACCGGCCAAAACCAAAACAAAAAUAUGACGUGCUCGCGAAUUUUACUUUAGUUCAAUUAUCGAGUAGAUAGAUAUCAUUAACGAUUAACAAAUUACCAAUAAUUAUAUAACAAUGAAUUUUGUAUCGUUUUUUUAUAACUUAUAAAACAAUCGGUCUUGAUUCAUUCUAUUCGACGACUCGACAUUUCGAACGAAUCAUGCAACAGUCUGGAUAAUGAGGGCUACCAUAGUUAUAGACUAUUGUAUUAUAUAGUUGUCGUAACGUCGUCGCUUCUUCCAACCACACCAUAACUUCUCAAAAACUACAACUCGCCUAAAUACUCUUUCACAAUGAUUCACCAAUUGGAAAAUAAAAAUUAACAAAUCAAAGUCUUUUGACACUCUCACUCAGGCCUCAUAGCUGCCCAGCCAUAUCAAUCAACAAUAUCACCAGAAAUGGAAGUUAAACUUGACAAGCAUUUAACCUGGUCUCUUCAUCUUAAAGACAAGCGAAAGAAGCUAAAUACUAGACUCCAUAGGUUAUUACAACCUCCAUGUAGUUAUAUUGAUAAGCAGGUAAUUUUUUCUUGCGAAGGCAAUACUAAAACUUUGAGACUCAAUUCUUUCAAAUAUUUGAUUAGUGUGAGGUUUCCAAAUCAAAUUCAUUUAUACUAUUUGAAUAUGUAACUAGAGAUAAAAUCUUAAUAAUUAUCCCUGGUACUUACUUCUCAUCUCUCCCAUCAUUUCUAUUCAUAACUUUAUCAUCAAUAUCAAACUCUUUCUCUUUUCCAUCUCUGUAAGUUCUAAUUAUUGCAUUUUCUAAAUUGUCAUCAUAUAUUUUGUUUUGCAACAGAAAGCAGUCUAUCCACUGUAGUUAAAUAAUGAUCUACCCAAAUGUAGUUAUAUAGUGUGAACUCCUGUUGCACAAUGUUUAGAACUAUUGUAAGAUAAGUAAAGUCAUAAAUGUUUGUUUCUCAAUCCAAAUUUUGAGAACACUUCUUUAAAUAAUUUUUAAAAGUGCGAACUAGAUUUUCUGCAUCACAGUUAGAAGAAGGAUUGUAAGCCAAAGGUUUAAUAUGAAAGACUCCAAUAUUUUUUAUUAACAAUUCAAAAUGUAUAGAGCACAACAAUGGACUAUUGUCUGUAACUAACUUUGCAGGGAUACCCCACAAAAAAUAUACUUUUAAUACUUUAAUUGU